UACGUAGGGUGCAAGCGUUGUCCGGAAUUAUUGGGCGUAAAAAGCUCGUAGGCGGUCUGUCGCGUCUGCUGUGAAAACUCGGGGCUUAACCCCGGGCCUGCAGUGGGUACGGGCAGACUAGAGUGCGGUAGGGGAGACUGGAAUUCCUGGUGUAGCGGUGAAAUGCGCAGAUAUCAGGAGGAACACCGGUGGCGAAGGCGGGUCUCUGGGCCGUAACUGACGCUGAGGAGCGAAAGCGUGGGGAGCGAACAGG
rnacentral:rRNA from 1 species